GAAGACUAAAAUGCCCCUUAUAACUUAAAAAUAUUACAACCUUAGACCUAUAAAUAUUUUUUUUCUUCUCAUUUUUCCUUUUUCUUUCUUUUUCUUCUCACGUUCUUUCCUCUCUCAUUCUCUCUCUAAGUGGCACUCAACACCGGAGAUGAUGUAGUGGUGGCUGCAAUGGCGGUGACGGCGAUUUCACAACCGAAUAUGGUCG
rnacentral:lncRNA from 1 species